AAAAGCCAGGGGAAGUCCAAUUUUCGCAGCAAGUUUCUGUGGUGAGACACCUUAGCAAAACAAACGUUUCUCCCGAUCCAACCGUUGGAUCGUCGCGGUUCUUGGACACAGCGUUCCAGACUCGUAGAGGUUUUUGGUGCGUCUCUGCACGUUGUUAGAAAAGAUUUUCGGAGAAAAGUUGGAAGCGGCGGCAUAAGCUAUGGCAACCGGGAGAGUAGAGGAAUCUCCAAUCCAAAGGUACUCAAGAAUAGUUGUGGAAGCGAAGUAACUUUAUGAAGUCUUUAGUUGCUGUUAGUCGAUUGGUGUCUUGCUCUGAUACGUAGCACUCGGGAU